rnacentral:rRNA from 1 species
AACGAACGCUGGCGGCAUGCCUAACACAUGCAAGUCGAACGAGACCUUCGGGUCUAGUGGCGCACGGGUGCGUAACGCGUGGGAACCUGCCCUUAGGUUCGGAAUAACUCCCCGAAAGGGGUCCUAAUACCGGUUAAUGUCUUCGGACCAAAGAUUUAUCGCUUUUGGAUGGGCCCGCGUUGGAUUAGCUAGUUGGUAGGGUAAAAGCCUACCAAGGCGACGAUCCAUAGCUGGUCUGAGAGGAUGAUCAACCACACUGGGACUGAGACACGGCCCAGACUCCUACGGGAGGAAGCAGUGGGGAAUAUUGGACAAUGGGCGAAAGCCUGAUCCAGCAAUGCCGCGUGAGUGAUGAAGGACUUAGGGUUGUAAAGCUCUUUUACCCGGGAUGAUAAUGACAGUACCGGGAGAAUAAGCUCCGGCUAACUCCGUG